AGUCUAUUCAGAGGAACCUGUCCUAUAAUUGAUAGUCCACGAUUUUAUUUACUUAUUUUUUUAAUUUACAUAUCGUCGUAGGUUGAAUAUUUUAAUAGAAAUUUAAAUAUUCAAGAUUCUUAUUUGAAGGAAUUCAGAUCAAGGUGUAGUUUAUAAAUGAGAAGAGAUGGGUUACAAUAAAUUUUAUUUAUACAGUUAAGCAUUUUUAAUAUUACUUAUAAGGUGGAUUUGAUGGUAAUUUUUUUUAAAUUUUAAAAAUGAUUUUAGCUCUAAAAUAUGUACAUAUCGCCCGUCGCUUUCACUCUAAGGUGAAAUAAGUCGUAACAAAGUAGGUGUACCGGAAGGUGUACCUGGAAAAU
rnacentral:rRNA from 2 species